rnacentral:rRNA from 1 species
AUUUGGCGGACGGGUGAGUAACGAUUGGAAAACGGACUAAUACCCCAUAAAACAGGGAUCCCGCAUGGGAAUAUUUGUUAAAGAUUUAUCGGUUGUAGAUGGGCAUGCGUUCCAUUAGCUAGUUGGUGAGGUAACGGCUCACCAAGGCAACGAUGGAUAGGGGAACUGAGAGGUUUAUCCCCCACACUGGUACUGAGACACGGACCAGACUCCUACGGGAGGCAGCAGUGAGGAAUAUUGGUCAAUGGACGCAAGUCUGAACCAGCCACGUCGCGUGAAGGAAGACGGCCCUACGGGUUGUAAACUUCUUUUGUAAGGGAAUAAAGUGUAGUACGUGUACUAUUUUGCAUGUACCUUACGAAUAAGGAUCGGCUAACUCCGUGCCAGCAGCCGCGGUAAUAAUCACUG